GACAAAGGAAACCAGGUACCAUGUAUUUUUUAUAAAUUAUUCAUUGUAUCUUGUAAUAUAGACAGAAAUGUAUAUUGACAAAAAUUAAGUAUCGAUGAUGGUUCAGAUAACUAAGCUGAUGGAGCUAUGCAUUUCCAUUGUCAUCUAGAAAGCAAGGGAACUAUUUUAUUUGUACCCACAAAUUGUUUUAUUGCUAAACGA
rnacentral:misc_RNA from 1 species